rnacentral:rRNA from 1 species
GAUGAACGCUGGCGGCGUGCCUAAUACAUGCAAGUCGAGCGAACAGACGAGGAGCUUGCUCCUCUGACGUUAGCGGCGGACGGGCGAGUAACACGUGGAUAACCUACCUAUAAGACUGGGAUAACUUCGGGAAACCGGAGCUAAUACCGGAUAACAUGUUGAACCGCAUGGUUCAACAGUGAAAGACGGUUUUGCUGUCACUUAUAGAUGGAUCCGCGCCGCAUUAGCUAGUUGGUAAGGUAACGGCUUACCAAGGCAACGAUGCGUAGCCGACCUGAGAGGGUGAUCGGCCACACUGGAACUGAGACACGGUCCAGACUCCUACGGGAGGCAGCAGUAGGGAAUCUUCCGCAAUGGGCGAAAGCCUGACGGAGCAACGCCGCGUGAGUGAAGAAGGUCUUCGGAUCGUAAAACUCUGUUAUUAGGGAAGAACAAAUGUGUAAGUAACUAUGCACGUCUUGACGGUACCUAAUCAGAAAGCCACGGCUAACUACGUG